rnacentral:rRNA from 1 species
UGGGGAAUAUUGGACAAUGGGCGAAAGCCUGAUCCAGCCAUGCCGCAUGAGUGAAGAAGGCCUUUGGGUUGUAAAGCUCUUUUAGUGAGGAAGAUAAUGACGGUACUCACAGAAGAAGUCCUGGCUAACUCCGUG